UACGUAGGGUGCGAGCGUUAAUCGGAAUUACUGGGCGUAAAGCGUGCGCAGGCGGUGAUGUAAGACAGAUGUGAAAUCCCCGGGCUCAACCUGGGAACUGCAUUUGUGACUGCAUCGCUGGAGUGCGGCAGAGGGGGAUGGAAUUCCGCGUGUAGCAGUGAAAUGCGUAGAUAUCGGAAGGAACACCAGUGGCGAAAGCGGCUUCCUGGUCCAGCACCGACGUUCAGGCACGAAAGCGUGGGGAGCAAACAGG
rnacentral:rRNA from 1 species